rnacentral:rRNA from 1 species
GACGAACGCUGGCGGCGUGCUUAACACAUGCAAGUUGAACGGGCGAUAUUGGAAGCUUGCUGAAGAUAUCGUUAGUAGCGGACGGGUGAGUAAUGCAUGAGGACCUGCCUACCGGAGGGGGACAACAGUUGGAAACGGCUGCUAAUACCCCGUACGCCGAGAGGUGAAAGGAAUGGAGACAUUCCGCCGGGAGAGGGACUCAUGUCCUAUCAGCUGGUUGGUGAGGUAACGGCUCACCAAGGCGACGACGGGUAGCCGGCCUGAGAGGGCGACCGGCCACACUGGAACUGAGAGACGGUCCAGACUCCUACGGGAGGCAGCAGUGGGGAAUAUUGGGCAAUGGGGGCAACCCUGACCCAGCGACGCCGCGUGAGGGAAGAAGGCCUUCGGUCGUAACUUCUUUGUACGUGAAGAAGCAGAUGACGGUAGCGUACGAAUAAGUCCGGCUAACUACGUG